ensembl:lncRNA
AAAGGGAAAGAUGAGAACAGAGGAGCAGGGAAGAAAGAGGAGGUGGGGGAGAGGUGUGAGAGGGGGUCAAAGACAGAAAGGGAAAGAUGAGAACAGAGGAGCAGGGAAGAAGUAGGAGGUGGGGGAGAGGUGUGAGAGGGGGUCAAAGACAGAAAGGGAAAGAGCAGAACAGAGCAGAACAGAGGAGCAGGGAAGAAAGCUUAUGAUUCAUGAAUCACAGUGCAACUAAACUACGUAUUCUCUCAGGUCAUCACAGUUACAUAAUAGUAUCUCUACCGGUGUCUCCUAACCAGCCUUGGGCCCCCAGUUGGGUUGUCUUUGAGCGGAUGAGGUGACG